rnacentral:lncRNA from 1 species
GGAACAACUCGCACAUAGCCAAAAAGCCUUGUAAUGUCCCCCCAUCAUAUCGUAUCCCCUUUCUUUCAAGUCUUCAUUUAAUCAUGUGUACAUAAGUGGUAUGUAACUCGAUCAGUUCUAGGAGUCAAUAAAGUUGCUAAGUUGAGUAAUUGCAGGAUUAUCUAGUCUCGCUAAGUAGUAAUUUGUAUACCGUUUUUGUUUAUUAAAAAAAAGAAGAAAAAC